AAUUUCUCAAACCCCCCAUGUCUUAAUGGCAUUGGGGCUUUGGAGUUGGGGGCUGCUGGCGGCGAAAAGCUGUCAGCUCUCCUGAAAUGCAUUAGCAAAAGGAUGGCAAGUUCCUUGACGUGCACGGCCUUCAACGUGAUAAUGAUCGUUGUGGCUGGAGCGUUGGGGGAAAUGCAUUGAAUCAUCCAUGUUGCUUCCAAUCCCUCCCUAGCCCUCAAGCUUUAGUUGCUUAGCUUACUAGUCAGUCGUGAGGCUGAUGAACGUUGAGUGGGCUAAGGCUGGGCUUGUCUAUUUCGAAAC
rnacentral:misc_RNA from 1 species